UCGCCGUUUGAAGAAUCGUUUUCGCAGCUUCCGUACAGAGACUUUGUAGUCUCGUUCUUCGCUGUGGGGAAAGUCCCCGGAGAUGCAGAGUUUCCUCGUCCAGUAAAUGGAAAGCAGCGUCCCCAAGCACGACGUUCUGGUUCGAGGAUGGCUUGAAGCUUUUUAGAGCUUUUGUCUCCCUCGUUCCGACGGAGGGAAAGCUACCUUCUAAUGCCGCUCUGUCGACCUCAUUCCAUGCAAGGACGCAAAGAUACGAGCGCAGUGGAUGGGAUGGUGGUCAAUCCGUUGCUCAUAGAUAUAGUUAUACGAUUGUCGACUUUUCGCAAGUCUUCCACUCAAUGGGGCUCACUCUCUUUCGGCG
rnacentral:RNase_MRP_RNA from 1 species